rnacentral:rRNA from 1 species
UACGGAGGGGGCUAGCGUUGUUCGGAAUUACUGGGCGUAAAGCGCACGUAGGCGGCUUUGUAAGUUAGAGGUGAAAGCCCGGAGCUCAACUCCGGAAUUGCCUUUAAGACUGCAUCGCUCGAAUCAUGGAGAGGUGAGUGGAAUUCCGAGUGUAGAGGUGAAAUUCGUAGAUAUUCGGAAGAACACCAGUGGCGAAGGCGGCUCACUGGCCCGUAACUGACGCUGAGACGAGAAGCG